GACGAACGCUGGCGGCGUGCCUAAUACAUGCAAGUAGAACGCUGAAGGAGGAGCUUGCUUCUCUGGAUGAGUUGCGAACGGGUGAGUAACGCGUAGGUAACCUGCCUGGUAGCGGGGGAUAACUAUUGGAAACGAUAGCUAAUACCGCAUAAUAGCAGUUGUUGCAUGACAACUGUUUGAAAGGUGCAAUUGCACCACUACCAGAUGGACCUGCGUUGUAUUAGCUAGUUGGUGGGGUAACGGCUCACCAAGGCGACGAUACAUAGCCGACCUGAGAGGGGGAUCGGCCACACUGGGACUGAGACACGGCCCAGACCCCUACGGGAGGCAGCAGUAGGGAAUCUUCGGCAAGGGACGGAAGUCUGACCGAGCAACGCCGCGUGAGGGAAGAAGGUUGUCGGAUCGUAAAGAUCGGUUGUAAGAGAAGAACGAGUGUGAGAGUGGAAAGUUCACACUGUGACGGUAUCUUACCAGAAAGGGACGGCUAACUACGUG
rnacentral:rRNA from 1 species